rnacentral:rRNA from 1 species
GACGAACGCUGGCGGCGCGCUUAACACAUGCAAGUCGAACGGAAAGGCCCUGCUUUUGUGGGGUGCUCGAGUGGCGAACGGGUGAGUAACACGUGAGUAACCUGCCCUUGACUUUGGGAUAACUUCAGGAAACUGGGGCUAAUACCGGAUAGGAGCUCCUGCUGCAUGGUGGGGGUUGGAAAGUUUCGGCGGUUGGGGAUGGACUCGCGGCUUAUCAGCUUGUUGGUGGGGUAGUGGCUUACCAAGGCUUUGACGGGUAGCCGGCCUGAGAGGGUGACCGGCCACAUUGGGACUGAGAUACGGCCCAGACUCCUACGGGAGGCAGCAGUGGGGAAUAUUGCACAAUGGGCGGAAGCCUGAUGCAGCAACGCCGCGUGCGGGAUGACGGCCUUCGGGUUGUAAACCGCUUUCGCCUGUGACGAAGCGUGAGUGACGGUAAUGGGUAAAGAAGCACCGGCUAACUACGUGCCAGCAGCCGCGGUGGUACGUAGGGUGCGAGCGUUGUCCGGAUUUAUUGGGCGUAAAGGGCUCGUAGGUGGUUGAUCGCGUCGGAAGUGUAAUCUUGGGGCUUAACCCUGAGCGUGCUUUCGAUACGGGUUGACUUGAGGAAGGUAGGGGAGAAUGGAAUUCCUGGUGGAGCGGUGGAAUGCGCAGAUAUCAGGAGGAACACCAGUGGCGAAGGCGGUUCUCUGGGCCUUUCCUGACGCUGAGGAGCGAAAGCGUGGGGAGCGAACAGGCUUAGAUACCCUGGUAGUCCACGCUGUAAACGGUGGGUACUAGGUGUGGGGUCCAUUCCACGGGUUCCGUGCCGUAGCUAACGCUUUAAGUACCCCGCCUGGGGAGUACGGCCGCAAGGCUAAAACUCAAAGGAAUUGACGGGGCCCCGCACAAGCGGCGGAGCAUGCGGAUUAAUUCGAUGCAACGCGUAGAACCUUACCUGGGUUUGACAUGGAUCGGGAGUGCUCAGAGAUGGGUGUGCCUCUUUUGGGGUCGGUUCACAGGUGGUGCAUGGCUGUCGUCAGCUCGUGUCGUGAGAUGUUGGGUUAAGUCCCGCAACGAGCGCAACCCUUGUUCACUGUUGCCAGCACGUUAUGGUGGGGACUCAGUGGAGACCGCCGGGGUCAACUCGGAGGAAGGUGGGGAUGACGUCAAGUCAUCAUGCCCCUUAUGUCCAGGGCUUCACGCAUGCUACAAUGGCUGGUACAGAGAGUGGCGAGCCUGUGAGGGUGAGCGAAUCUCGGAAAGCCGGUCUCAGUUCGGAUUGGGGUCUGCAACUCGACCUCAUGAAGUCGGAGUCGCUAGUAAUCGCAGAUCAGCAACGCUGCGGUGAAUACGUUCCCGGGGCU